GAUGAACGCUGGCGGUAUGCUUAACACAUGCAAGUCGAACGGACUCUUCGGAGCUAGUGGCGGACGGGUGCGUAACGCGUGAGAAUCUGGCUUUGGGUUCGGGACAACCACUGGAAACGGUGGCUAAUACCGGAUGUGCCGAGAGGUCAAAGAGAAAUUGCCUGAAGAUGAGCUCGCGUGUGAUUAGCUAGUUGGUGAGGUAAAGGCUCACCAAGGCAGCGAACAGUAGCUUGUCUGAGAGGAAGGCCGACCAGCCUGGGACUGAGACACGGCCCAGACACCUACCGGAGGCAGGCGGGAGGAAGGAUCAGCGAUGGGCGAAAGACUGACGGAGCAAUACCGGGUGAGUGAAGAAGGCUGUUGGGUUGUAAGUCACUUUCCUUAGGGAAGGACGAAAAGACGGUACCUAAGGAAUCAGCAUCGGCUAACUCCGUG
rnacentral:rRNA from 1 species